rnacentral:sRNA from 1 species
UCCCCUUGGUGCAUUUUUUGCUUUAGUU